rnacentral:rRNA from 1 species
AUUGAACGCUGGCGGCAGGCCUAACACAUGCAAGUCGAACGGCAGCACAGAAGAGCUUGCUCUUUGGGUGGCGAGUGGCGGACGGGUGAGUAAUGUCUGGGAAACUGCCCGAUGGAGGGGGAUAACUACUGGAAACGGUAGCUAAUACCGCAUAACGUCGCAAGACCAAAGUGGGGGACCUUCGGGCCUCACACCAUCGGAUGUGCCCAGAUGGGAUUAGCUAGUAGGUGGGGUAAUGGCUCACCUAGGCGACGAUCCCUAGCUGGUCUGAGAGGAUGACCAGCCACACGGGAACUGAGACACGGUCCAGACUCCUACGGGAGGCAGCAGUGGGGAAUAUUGCACAAUGGGCGCAAGCCUGAUGCAGCCAUGCCGCGUGUAUGAAGAAGGCCUUCGGGUUGUAAAGUACUUUCAGCGGGGAGGAAGGCGGUGAGGUUAAUACCCUCGCCGAUUGACGUUACCCGCAGAAGAAGCACCGGCUAACUCCGUGCCAGCCGCCGCCGUAA